CCUACGGGGGGCAGCAGUGAGGAAUAUUGGUCAAUGGACGAGAGUCUGAACCAGCCAAGUAGCGUGAAGGAUGACUGCCCUAUGGGUUGUAAACUUCUUUUAUAAAGGAAUAAUACGAUGCACGUGUGCCUUUUUGCAUGUACUUUAUGAAUAAGGAUCGGCUAACUCCGUGCCAGCAGCCGCGGUAAUACGGAGGAUCCGAGCGUUAUCCGGAUUUAUUGGGUUUAAAGGGAGCGUAGAUGGGUUUUUAAGUCAGUUGUGAAAUUUUGCGGCUCAACCGUAAAAAUGCAAUUGAUACUGGCAGUCGUGAGUACAGUUGAGGUAGGCGGAAUUCGUGGUGUAGCGGUGAAAUGCUUAGAUAUCACACAGAACACCGAUUGCGAAGGCAUCUCACGAGUCCGCGAUUGACGCUGAUGCACGAAAGCGUGGGUAUCAAACAGGAUUAGAUACCCGGGUAGUC
rnacentral:rRNA from 1 species